GUAGGGUGCAGGCGUUAAUCGGAAUUACUGGGCGUAAAGCGUGCGCAGGCGGCUUCCUAAGUCAGAUGUGAAAUCCCCGGGCUUAACCUGGGAACUGCGUUUGAAACUGGGAGGCUAGAGUGCGGCAGAGGGGGGUGGAAUUCCACGUGUAGCAGUGAAAUGCGUAGAUAUGUGGAGGAACACCGAUGGCGAAGGCAGCCCCCUGGGCCAGCACUGACGCUCAUGCACGAAAGCGUGGGGAGCAAACAGGAUUAGAUACCCUGGUAGUCCACGCCCUAAACUAUGUCGACUGGUUGUUGGGGGAGUCUGUCCCUCAGUAACGUAGCUAACGCGUGAAGUCGACCGCCUGGGGAGUACGGUCGCAAGAUUAAA
rnacentral:rRNA from 1 species